UACAGGGGGUGCAAACGUUGCUCGGAAUUAUUGGGCGUAAGCGCGCGUAGGCGGCUACCUAAGUCGGAUGUGAAAGCCCCUGGCUUAACUGGGGAAGUGCACCCGAAACUGGGUAGCUAGAGUGCAAAAGAGGGUCGCGGAAUUCCCGGUGUAGAGGUGAAAUUCGUAGAUAUUCGCAAGAACACCAGUGGCGAAGGCGGCUCACUGGCCCGGUACUGACGCUGAGGUGCGAAAGCGUGGGGAGCAAC
rnacentral:rRNA from 1 species